rnacentral:rRNA from 1 species
GGGAACUAGGCAAAAUAGUACCGUAACUUCGGGAGAAGGUACGCCCCUAGUACGUGAAGGCCCAGCGGCCGGAGCGGACGGGGGUUGCAGUGACCAGGUGGCUGCGACUGUUUACUAAAAACACAGCACUCUGCAAACGCGUAAGCGGACGUAUAGGGUGUGACGCCUGCCCGGUGCCGGAAGGUUAAGUGAUGGGGUUAGCCGCAAGGCGAAGCUCUUAAUCGAAGCCCCGGUAAACGGCGGCCGUAACAAUAACGGUCCUAAGGUAGCGAAAUUCCUUGUCGGGUAAGUUCCGACCUGCACGAAUGGCGUAACGAUGGCCACGCUGUCUCCACCAGAGACUCAGUGAAAUUGAAAUCUCGGUUAAGAUGCCGAGUACCCGCGGCUAGACGGAAAGACCCCGUGAACCUUUACUAUAGCUUCACACGGGACUUUGAAUCGACUUGUGUAGGAUAGGUGGGAGGCUGUGAAGCCCGGACGCCAGUUCGGGUGGAGCCACCCUUGAAAUACCACCCUGGUCGAUUUGGAGUUCUAACCUCGGUCCGUGAUCCGGAUCAGGGACAGUGUGUGGUGGGUAGUUUGACUGGGGCGGUCUCCUCCCAAAGCGUAACGGAGGAGCACGAAGGUACCCUCAGCGCGGUCGGAAAUCGCGCAUUGAGUGCAAAGGCAUAAGGGUGCUUGACUGCGAGACAGACACGUCGAGCAGGUACGAAAGUAGGUCUUAGUGAUCCGGUGGUUCUGUAUGGAAGGGCCAUCGUUCAACGGAUAAAAGGUACUCCGGGGAUAACAGGCUGAUACCGCCCAAGAGUUCAUAUCGACGGCGGUGUUUGGCACCUCGAUGUCGGCUCAUCACAUCCUGGGGCUGAAGUCGGUCCCAAGGGUAUGGCUGUUCGCCAUUUAAAGUGGUACGCGAGCUGGGUUUAGAACGUCGUGAGACAGUUCGGUCCCUAUCUGCCGUGGGCGUUGGAGAUUUGCGGGAAGCUGCUCCUAGUACGAGAGGACCGGAGUGGACGUACCCCUGGUGUUCCGGUUGUCACGCCAGUGGCAUUGCCGGGUAGCUAUGUACGGACGGGAUAACCGCUGAAAGCAUCUAAGCGGGAAGCCCCUCCCAAGAUGAGAUCUCCCUGGUCCCUUGAGGUCCCUAAAGGUCCGUCACAGACUAUGACGUGGAUAGGCGGGAUGUGGAAGCGCGGUAACGCGUGCAGCUAACCCGUACUAAUUGACCGUGCGGCUUGACCCU